GCCUACGGGGGGCAGCAGUGGGGAAUAUUGGGCAAUGGGCGAAAGCCUGACCCAGCAAUGCCGCGUGAAUGAAGAAGGUCUUAGGAUUGUAAAAUUCUGUCCUAUGGGAAGAAACAAAUGACGGUACCAUAGGAGGAAGCCCCGGCUAACUACGUGCCAGCAGCCGCGGUAAUAUGUAGGGGGCGAGCGUUAUCCGGAAUGAUUGGGCGUAAAGGGCGCGUAGGCGGCCUGCUAAGUCUGGAGUGAAAGGUACCGGCUCAACCGGUACAGGCUCUGGAAACUGGCGGGCUAGAGAGCAGGGGAGG
rnacentral:rRNA from 1 species